CCUGCGGUUUAAUUGGACUCAACGCCGGGCAGCUCACCGGAUAAGGACAGCUGGAUGAUAGCCGGGCUGAAGACUCUGCUUGACUAGCUGAGAGGAGGUGCAUGGCCGUCGUCAGUUCGUACUGUGAAGCAUCCUGUUAAGUCAGGCAACGAGCGAGACCCACGCCAACAGUUGCCAGCAUGUCCUCCGGGAUGAUGGGGACACUGUUGGGACCGCCUCUGCUAAAGAGGAGGAAGGAAUGGGCAACGGUAGGUCAGCAUGCCCCGAAUUAUCCGGGCUACACGCGGGCUACAAUGGUCAGGACAAUGGGUAUCGACACCGAGAGGUGGAGGCAAUCUCCUAAACCUGUCCUUAGUUCGGAUUGAGGGCUGCAACUCGCCCUCAUGAAGCUGGAAUCCGUAGUAAUCGCGUUUCAACAGAACGCGGUGAAUACGUCCCUGCUCCUU
rnacentral:rRNA from 1 species